UUACGAUCAUAUCACAUUGAAACACCGAUUCUCAGGUGUAUCACCGAAGAUAAGCAACGUUGAACCUGGUCAGUACCAAGAUGGGUGACGACUUGAGAAUACCAGGUGCUGUAA